rnacentral:rRNA from 1 species
CCGGUUGAUCCUGCCGGAUGUCACUGCUAUCGGCGCUCCAUUAAGCCAUGCUAGUCGAGAGGGUUCAGACCCUCGUUGGACUGCUCAGUAACACGUGGAUAACCUGACCUGUGGUGGAGCAUAACCCCGGGAAACUGGGGAUAAUACUCCAUAAGUUACGAUAUCUGGAAUGAUUUGUAGCUCAGAGCUCCGGCGCCACAGGAUGGAUCUGCGGGCGAUUACGUAGUAGUUGGGGUAGAGGCCCCACUAGCCUGCACUCGGUACGGGUUGUGGGAGCCUGAGCCCGGAGAUGGAAUCUGAGACUCGAUUCCAGGCCCUACUGGGCGCAUCAGGCGCGAAAACUUUACAAUGCACGAAACUGUGAUAAGGGAACCCCGAGUGCCCGUACACGCGGGCUGUCUGGGUGUUUAAAAUGCACCCAAAGAAAGGGCCGGGCAAGACCGGUGCCAGCCGCCGCGGUAAUACCGGCGGCUCGAGUGGUGACCACUUUUAUUGGGCUUACAGCGUUCGUAGCUGGACUGCUAAGUCCCUUGUGAAAUCCGCCGGCUUAACCGGCGGUCGUCUAACGGAUACUGGCAGUCUUGGGACCGGGAGAAGUAAGAGGUACUCCGGGGGUAGGAGUGGAAUCCUGUACUCCCCGGGGGAACACCGGUGGCGAACGCGUU